rnacentral:rRNA from 1 species
UUAGCACUAACAUAAUUUGUGCCAGCAGUUGCGGUUACACAAAUAGUGCAAUUGAAAUUUUUUGGUUAUGAUUAAUUUAAUUUUAUAUUAAAUUUAUUAUUCUUAGGUGAAAUUGGAAUAUUAAUAUAAUUUCUUUUUGUUUUUGAGGUCACUAAAUUAAUUAAUAAACUAGGAUUAGAUACCCUAUUAU